rnacentral:rRNA from 1 species
CACGGGGGGAGCAAGCGUUGUUCGGAAUCACUGGGCGUAAAGGGCUGAUGUGAGCGGUUCGGUAAGUGGAAUGUGAAAUGCUCCGGCUCACCCGGAGUACUGCAUCCCAAACUGCCGAGCUUGAGUAUGGGAGAGGAUGAGGGAAUUCCUGGUGUAGCGGUGAAAUGCGUAGAUAUCAGGAGGAACACCGGUGGCGAAGGCGCUCAUCUGGCCCAAUACUGACGCUGAGGCGCGAAAGCUAGGGGAGCAAACGGG